AUUGAACGCUGGCGGCAUGCCUUACACAUGCAAGUCGAACGGCAGCACGGGUGCUUGCACCUGGUGGCGAGUGGCGAACGGGUGAGUAAUACAUCGGAACAUGUCCUGUAGUGGGGGAUAGCCCGGCGAAAGCCGGAUUAAUACCGCAUACGAUCUACGGAUGACAGCGGGGGACCUUCGGGCCUCGCGCUAUAGGGUUGGCCGAUGGCUGAUUAGCUAGUUGGUGGGGUAAAGGCCUACCAAGGCGACGAUCAGUGGCUGGUCUGAGAGGACGACCAGCCACACUGGGACUGAGACACGGCCCAGACUCCUACGGGAGGCAGCAGUGGGGAAUUUUGGACAAUGGGCGAAAGCCUGAUCCAGCAAUGCCGCGUGUGUGAAGAAGGCCUUCGGGUUGUAAAGCACUUUUGUCCGGAAAGAAAUCCUUGGCCCUAAUACGGUCGGGGGAUGACGGUACCGGAAGAAUAAGCACCGGCUAACUACGUG
rnacentral:rRNA from 1 species